rnacentral:rRNA from 1 species
UACAGAGGGUGCGAGCGUUGUCCGGAAUCACUGGGCGUAAAGGGCGCGUAGGCGGCUUGAUAAGGUUGCGGUGAAAGCCCGGGGCUCAACCCCGGGUCGGCCGUGGCAACUGUCGAGCUGGAGCACUGUAGAGGCAGGUGGAAUUCCGGGUGUAGCGGUGGAAUGCGUAGAGAUCCGGAAGAACACCGGUGGCGAAGGUGGCCUGCUGGGCAGUGGCUGACGCUGAGGCGCGACAGCGUGGGGAGCAAACAGG